CGCCCAUAAGCUAGCCCCACCAACCACUUUCAUCAAACAAAUAUAACCAAACCCAAAAACACUAGACUCUUCUUAAACAAAGCAUUUUACCCCCUUAGUACGGGCGACAGAAAAGGACCUCCGGGCGCAAUAGAAAAAGUACCGCAAGGGAAAGCUGAAAGAGAAAUGAAAUAAACCAGUAAAGCCAUAAAAAGCAGAGAUUUAUCCUCGUACCUUUUGCAUCAUGAUUUAGCCAGCACCCCCAAGCGAAGAGAACUUUAGUUUGAGACCCCGAAACUGCGGUGAGCUACUCCAAGACAGCCUAUUUAUAGGGCAAACCCGUCUCUGUGGCAAAAGAGUGGGAAGAACUUCGAGUAGGGGUGACAGACCUAUCGAACCCAGUUAUAGCUGGUUGCCCGAGAAUUGGAUAGAAGUUCAGCCUCAUGGCUUCUCCCUUCAUAUAAACUUUAUAGUACUAAAUGAUAAAAAGAAACCACGAGAGUUAGUCAAAUGGGGUACAGCCCCUUUGAACCAAGAUACAACUUUUUAAGAAGGAUAAAGAUCAUAAUUGUUAAGGCAAAAUGUUUGGGUGGGCUUAAGAGCAGCCAUCCCAACAGAAAGCGUUAAAGCUCGAACAUACCUAACUUGCCCCAUAUCCCGAUAUUCAUAUCUUAAUCCCCUAACAUUACCGGGCCUCCCCAUACAUUUUUAUGGGGGCGACCCUGCUAGAAUGAGUAAUAAGAGAGCUACCCUCUCUCCCAGCACAUGUGUAUCUCGGAACGGACCCCCCGCCGAACAUUAACGGCCCCAAACAAAGAGGGCACUGGACAAACGCGCAAACAAACUAGAAAACCGUCCUUAAAAUGCCGUUGACCCUACACUGGUGUGCCUCCAGGAAAGACUAAAAGAAAAAGAAGGAACUCGGCAAAAAAGUAAUUAAAGCCUCGCCUGUUUACCAAAAACAUCGCCUCUUGCAAAAUUAAAGAAUAAGAGGUCCCGCCUGCCCGGUGACAUUAGUUUAACGGCCGCGGUACUCUAACCGUGCGAAGGUAGCGUAAUCACUUGUCUUUUAAAUGAAGACCUGUAUGAAUGGCAUAACGAGGGCUUAACUGUCUCCUUUUUCCAGUCAAUGAAAUUGAUCUCCCCGUGCAGAAGCGGGGAUAGUAACAUAAGACGAGAAGACCCUAUGGAGCUUUAGACACUAAGACAGACCAAGUUAAAUACCCCACAAUAAAGGGCCGAACUCAUUGAUCCCCUGUCCUAAUGUCUUCGGUUGGGGCGACCAUGGGAGAACACAAAACCCCCAUGUGGAAUAGGAGGACAAUCCCAUAUUUCUCUUUCCCUUCCUCCCACAAGCAAGAGUUACAACUCUAGCUAACAGAACUUCUGACCUUAACACGAUCCGGCUUACGCCGAUCAACGGACCAAGUUACCCUAGGGAUAACAGCGCAAUCCCCUUUUAGAGGCCAUAUCGACAAGGGGGUUUACGACCUCGAUGUUGGAUCAGGACAUCCUAAUGGUGCAGCCGCUAUUAAGGGUUCGUUUGUUCAACGAUUAAAGUCCUACGUGAUCUGAGUUCAGACCGGAGUAAUCCAGGUCAGUUUCUAUCUAUGAAGUUAACCUUUUCUAGUACGAAAGGACCGAAAAGGAGAGGCCCAUGCCCCAGGUACGCCUCCCCCUUACCUAAUGAAAUCAUCUAAACUAGGCAAAAGGGCGCGCCCCUUUUUGCCUAGAACAUGGCAU
rnacentral:rRNA from 1 species